rnacentral:rRNA from 1 species
UACGUAGGGUGCAAGCGUUGUCCGGAAUUAUUGGGCGUAAAGAGCUCGUAGGCGGCUUGUCACGUCGACUGUGAAAACCCGGGGCUCAACUCCGGGCCUGCAGUCGAUACGGGCUGGCUUGAGUGCGGUAGGGGAGACUGGAAUUCCUGGUGUAGCGGUGAAAUGCGUAGAUAUCUGGAGGAACACCGGUGGCGAAGGCGGCAUCCUGGACCGACACUGACACUGAGGAGCGAAAGCCAGGGGAGCAAACGGG